rnacentral:siRNA from 1 species
UAGCUAACAAUCAACUCGAGUAGU